CUGGGCUAGGGCGGUGGGAAUGGAAGCGAAGAAAACACUAAUGAAAGAAUCAAAUGGUAAUCAUCUCCUAGUGUUUAUCCCUCCUGCCCCUCAGAUUCACUGGCCUUGGCACCCUUUUUUUGCUUCUUUGUGGUCCCAGACUAUGAGUAACUAUCUUUUGGACUUUGGGCAGGUUACCUCAUCUUUCUGGGCCUCAGAUUCCUCAUCUAUAAAAGGAGGGAGCUAAAACCAAGUUUAAUUUUUCAGCCAGCCACCACCACUGACAUUCACUCAUGGAUUCACUAAAUAUUUGUCCUGUCCCUACUCUGUCCCAGGUGGUAUAUUAGACUAGUAAAUACACGAGGGGUUCUGACAGAAGUCUACUUUUAAUAGGUCAUUGACCCCCUUCUGGCCGGGAAGUUUGCCACGCAGCAGUUACUGAUAGUGACUUGUAGUGGAAACUUAUGCAUGCCUCUUAACUUCUUUGGGAGUAUUAAGGAAAAGGGAGAAGUCACAAUUGAGGCUCGAAGCAUGGAUGAAAAAGACAAUGUCAGUUGAUCCAUUGACUGAAAAAGCAAAAGUAUAUAGCACAGGUAUCCCUCUUCCGCUUGCACAAGAGGAAAUGAAGGCUCAGAAAAGCACAAUGACUUCACCUAGCUGGCUGGCAAUUGGCUAGGACCUGAACUCCAGGCUUCUGUCAUCCAAGUCAGUGCUCUUGAAGCUUAGAUUCCUGCCCCAGUGAUGCUGGAAGGAGUGCUGGACAUUGACACCAUCAGAUGUACCAGGGUCAAGAGAACUGAGAAGCUGAUAACAUACUAUGGGGGCUGGAUGUGACGAGUACCAAGAGCAAGUGUGACAGGCUGUUCCGAUAAACUGAUUCAACUGUGACGGGCUGUUCUGAUGGGCUGUUUGCUUAUGACUAUUUUGUUUAACUCAUUAGAACAGGCCAGCUCAAGAUGAGUUGGCAGGAUGGUCUCUCCGUUCUCUCAUAUCAAUGGCCAUGAGAAAACAGUCUCUUCCGGGUGCUCUGCCCUGUCUUCUCUCAGAUCAAUUGGCCAGUGAUCUGAAAAAUGAAA